rnacentral:rRNA from 1 species
UACGUUGGGUGCAAGCGUGGUCCGGAAUUAUUGGGCGUAAAGAGCUCGUAGGCGGUUUGUCGCGUCUGCUGUGAAAACCCGAGGCUCAACCUCGGGCCUGCAGUGGGUACGGGCAGACUAGAGUGCGGUAGGGGAGAUUGGAAUUCCUGGUGUAGCGGUGGAAUGCGCAGAUAUCAGGAGGAACACCGAUGGCGAAGGCAGAUCUCUGGGCCGUAACUGACGCUGAGGAGCGAAAGCAUGGGGAGCGAACAGG